UGAAAUUGUGUGAUAGGUGACAGAUUUGUUGGAGGAACAUGAUGAGCAUUUAUAUCCAUUGUGUUAUCCCAUUAGCACAUCCAAAAUAAAUCAAACUUGUGUCUCACACAACAAAAGAAAACCCUCUUCCCUGUAAUUGACGUACAUGUAUAGAGUGUAGACUUCAUCCUUCCUUCCACUACUGCUUCUCCAAGAGGAUUGGCCCGAGGAAAUCUCAGCAGCUCCUAGAGUAGUUGAGAAAAUAUUUUAUACAAAUAAAAAUCAAUGAUCUGAUAUCUUUCUACAUCUGGAACAUGGAAAUUUACUACCCAUGUAAUUAAACCUUACCACUCCCUGUCAGCAACGGACAAUUAAAUACCCAGAGAAGGCAAAUCUAUUACGGAGAAGCACAAACAUGAGAUAGGAGUGGUCUCUCAAUUAACUUCCGCCCCUGCACUAAUAUAUCACUAAAAGCUGAACCCUGGAUGAGAAAUUCAGCAUUAUAGAAGGGAAUAACCUUACGUAACAAAUACAAAGUAUAUAUACUCCAGAGGUAUUAAAGUAAAGUAUAAAUUGGCUCGUAACAAACAAAGCAUGGAGUCUAAAAUCCAACAAUUUGAUCGAGCAACAGGACUUAGACGGAGCAUCAAGAGAACACGUAUUCAUGGCCAUAGCCAUCAACAUCAGGUGAAGAAAUCAUGCAUCUUGCUUGUGUAGAGUGUGCAAUAAUAUACUGAUUGUUCACAUAAUGAUUACCAAAAUCACCGUGGUAUGGAGAUUAGCCUAGAUAUAAACUCCUACAUUAUCUUAUGGAGAUUAUCCAUGAUGAUAGGCAGCACACACCAUGCUCUCUAAUGUUUCAGAUAAAAGUUGAAAAGGUUAAACGAAGUAAAGAAGACACAUCGUAAUGAAGUUCUCUAUUUGUGAGGCAACAUGCGAGCAUGCCUUAUACACGUGGAUAGAUGAUUGCAUGAGCUUAGAAUUAGGGAUGGCGACAACUUGGAGACCACAGAAGCUAGAUGCUAGAAGGAGAGAAAGGAACCUGUGUAGCGGGAGGGCUAAGGAGCCGAGAGUAAGGGGUGGCAGAUCCAAUAAAGACAUCUCGAGCGGCGGCGGCGGCGGACGUUGGCUGAGGAGCGUGUUAGAUAGGAUGAUGAGAGGACG
rnacentral:lncRNA from 1 species